GAUGAACGCUGGCGGCGUGCCUAAUACAUGCAAGUCGAGCGAACAGAUGAGAAGCUUGCUUCUCUGACGUUAGCGGCGGACGGGUGAGUAACACGUGGGUAACCUACCUAUAAGACUGGGAUAACUCCGGGAAACCGGGGCUAAUACCGGAUAAUAUUUUGAACCGCAUGGUUCAAUAGUGAAAGACGGUUUCGGCUGUCACUUAUAGAUGGACCCGCGCCGUAUUAGCUAGUUGGUAAGGUAACGGCUUACCAAGGCGACGAUACGUAGCCGACCUAAGGGGGUGAUCGGCAACACUUGAACUGAGACACGGUCCAGACUCCUACGGGAGGCAGCAGUAGGGAAUCUUCCGCAAUGGGCGAAAGCCUGGAGGAGCAACGCCGCGUGUGUGAUGAAGGUCUUCAGAUCGUAAAACUCUGUUGUUAGGGAAGAACAAAUUUGUUAGUAACUGAACAAGUCUUGGCGGUACCUAACCAGAAAGCCACGGCUAACUACGUGCCAGCCGCCGCCGUAA
rnacentral:rRNA from 1 species